rnacentral:rRNA from 1 species
UCGAACGAAGCACUUUGAUCGAUUUCUUCGGAUUGAAAUUUUAGUGACUGAGCUGGCGGACGGGUGAGUAACGCGUGGGUAACCUGCCUCACACAGGGGGAUAACAGUUGGAAACGGCUGCUAAUACCGCAUAAGCGCACAGUACCGCAUGGUACAGUGUGAAAAACUCCGGUGGUGUGAGAUGGACCCGCGUCUGAUUAGCUAGUUGGCAGGGCAACGGCCUACCAAGGCGACGAUCAGUAGCCGACCUGAGAGGGUGACCGGCCACAUUGGGACUGAGACACGGCCCAAACUCCUACGGGAGGCAGCAGUGGGGAAUAUUGCACAAUGGGGGAAACCCUGAUGCAGCGACGCCGCGUGAGCGAAGAAGUAUUUCGGUAUGUAAAGCUCUAUCAGCAGGGAAGAAGAAAUGACGGUACCUGACUAAGAAGCACCGGCUAAAUACGUGCCAGCAGCCGCGGUAAUACGUAUGGUGCAAGCGUUAUCCGGAUUUACUGGGUGUAAAGGGAGCGCAGGCGGAAGGCUAAGUCUGAUGUGAAAGCCCGGGGCUCAACCCCGGUACUGCAUUGGAAACUGGUUAUCUAGAGUGUCGGAGGGGUAAGUGGAAUUCCUAGUGUAGCGGUGAAAUGCGUA